AUUGAACGCUGGCGGCAGGCCUAACACAUGCAAGUCGAGCGGGGUUUUCGGACCUAGCGGCGGACGGGUGAGUAAUGCGUAGGAAGCUACGCGAUAGAGGGGGAUACCAGUUGGAAACGACUGUUAAUACCGCAUAAUGUCUACGGACCAAAGUGUGGGACCUUCGGGCCACAUGCUAUCGGAUGCGCCUACGUGGAAUUAGCUAGUUGGUGAGGUAAUGGCUCACCAAGGCGACGAUCCCUAGCUGGUUUGAGAGGAUGAUCAGCCACACUGGAACUGAGACACGGUCCAGACUCCUACGGGAGGCAGCAGUGGGGAAUAUUGGACAAUGGGCGCAAGCCUGAUCCAGCCAUGCCGCGUGUGUGAAGAAGGCCUUCGGGUUGUAAAGCACUUUCAGUAGGGAGGAAGCGUUGUGUGUUAAUAGUACACAGCGUUGACGUUACCUACAGAAGAAGCACCGGCUAACUCUGUGCCAGCCGCCGCGGUAACAC
rnacentral:rRNA from 1 species